UAAAGGGAAGGAUUUGACUGAUUGCAACCCUUUUAUACUUUUAAAAAGUAUAAGAAAAAUGCUAAAGCAGUAU
rnacentral:ncRNA from 1 species